AAUUGUAAAUACGUUGUUUGACAAUGGCGCACUCGGACGUAAAACGAAACAAGGAUUUUACAAAAAGGAUAAAGAAACUAAAGCUCGACUUGUUUACGAUGUUGAAAAACAAGAUUAUGUACCUGUAUCGCAACCACAAUUACCAAUUUUAAAUGAAUUUAAUAAAGACUUAGUGCAUAACCUUGAUACCAUAUUCAAUGCGCAAGACGAAGCGGGACUAUUUUUAU
rnacentral:sRNA from 1 species